UACAGGGGGUGCAAACGUUGCUCGGAAUCAUUGGGCGUAAAGCGCACGUAGGCGGUUUGUUAUGUCGGAUGUGAAAGCCCUUGGCUCAACUGAGGAAGUGCAUCCGAAACUGGCAAGCUAGAGUACUAAAGAGGAUCGCGGAAUUCCCGGUGUAGAGGUGAAAUUCGUAGAUAUCGGGAGGAACAUCAGUGGCGAAAGCGACUUCCUGGACCAAUACUGACGCUCAUGUGCGAAAGCGUGGGGAGCAAACAGG
rnacentral:rRNA from 1 species